GCCGCCGUGGUGGAAUGGUAUACACAAGGGACUUAAAAUCCCUCGGGCGUAAGCCCUUGUCGGUUCGAGUCCGACCGGCGGUACCA
rnacentral:tRNA from 1 species